CCCCCUGCGCCCCCCAUCCAGUGUCCUCGUCCUGUAUACUCAUCUGCCCUAGAAUCUGCAGGUGUACCGGUGAAUCGAGUCAGGGAGAAGAAACCCGAGACGGGGGAAUCAAGUCAAGAUCUGGGUUUGCUUGCCCAGAUGUGAUAUCUUGUGCAUUUUAAUUUUUUUUCUGAAUUAUUUUGUGAAGGAUUUGUUAUUUGUGUUUAUGGAUCAGUUGCUGGAAGAAAUAGAAGUCGAUGUAUGGAUCAUGCAGUUUUAACUUACAUGUCUGUCUAUCUGCUCAUGUUUCCCGAGUUCCCUGUGGAGUAUGGAUCACUAAAUUAUUUUCUGUUCUCAGAUCUGUCUUGCUGGAGGUCAAAUAACUAUGGAUCUAUCUUGUUGGAGGUCAGGAACUUCAAGAAUGUCAUUCAGCAUUGGAGGAGGCAAAGGCUGAUAUAGUUGGUCAGUGGGUGCUGAAUUUUCUUAUAAACAAGGUUGGUUACUUCAUCGGUUAUCAGAGUAUCAGGGCACUUGUGUUAGAGCCCAGUGUUGUGGGGCCCAAGCCAGCCAAUUCCUUAUAUUUCUGUAGGGAAAUAUUAGGGAUGCAUAUUCCUUUCUUUAUAUCCCCAGUAUGCAAUCAUAUAAUACUUAAAAUGGAAUCACAUAAUAUCUCGUUUGCAUCUGUUCUGUCAGGGGUUGCUUCCUAAGAGCCUAUCAAAAUCUAUGUAUGUCUAUUUCCCGGCUGGAUGCUUUCGGUCAAUUAAUUGCUUCUUAUUGUGCCAAUCGGUUGAAGUUGAACAACUAUAUAUUUUUUUCCCAUGACCAUAGUAGGUUUGGAAGAGAAACUAAAACCAAGAUUAAUUUCGAGUUGAAGUCACACUUCUGUGUUUGUUAUUCGUGUCUUUACAAAAAAGUUUGGUCUCACAUGAAAUUAGUCUAUUUGUUUAUUUACGGCGGAUCUCACAUGUGAGUAAAGUAUAUUUGUUUAUAUAUCUCUUGAAAGAUUGCUAGUUCCACACAUGGGGAUGUGGAUGCGUGUAUUUGUUUAUUUGGAAAGGAUGUUUGACCCACAGGUGAACUCACCACCAACUCCAAUCUUUAUAAGUAGGAAACAUAUCCAAGCCAGAAUUAUUGAUCCUCCUCUCCUGCCUUCACCAAUUAAACAUACAAUUAAAGCUUUUGUUGAUCUUAUUCUGAAGCCUAAUGGAGAUGAUUCAAAGAAGUGGCCACAGAGAUUUGUGUUAGAUGCUUAAACCAUGGAUUGUCACAUUUAUCCCUUUUGUGCAUGUGAUCCUGUAUAUAUACAUAUCUGUCUGCUCUUUUUUGAACAUUUGCAUACCAUACAUCUCUAUUUCUGACAUAGGGUUUGAGUGUUUCCAUGUUACAACAAUGAAUAAAAAUUUCAUCGAUGCAGGUCCAUCUUUUCAGACCACAGGAUCAUCCUAGUAUCCCUGAAUAUCUUGCUUGUUUUCUUUUGACUAACCAUCUGAGAAUAGAAUCGUAGAUGUCAUUCAACAAAGAUGAACACUUAUGAAGUUGGAAGUUUGCAAAAUGUGGUGAGAGUAUAGGUUGUGGCCCCAUCAAUAAUGUCAUGUCCACAAGCAUCUUGUAAGUUCCUGCACCUUUGUUCCAUAUUCAAAACUACAACAAAUGUUCUAGAAUGUACCAUGUUUGUUCAUUCUUCAACAAAUUGUUUCUUCCAUGAUGAGUAAAGCUGAAUUAUAAUGUGGCCAUCCUUUGCAUUUCUCUUGAGCAAAUUGUAGACCAUAGCAAGUUCAUUUAUUUACUCUAAUGUUCGCACAUUAUAAUGUUCGCAAAUUAUAAUGCUCAUCUCUUUUUAUUGUGUGUAUAAUGGAUUUCUUUCCUGCUAGCAUAUACACCUACUUGCUGCUAGCAUAUACACUGUACAAGUUACUGGUAGAAAAUUUAUGUCGAAGGGAGAUUCAUGUGCACUUUCUAAAAGUAUGGAUGCUAUACUAUUGUACUUUUGUCAUCUUAUUUUUGGGUACUUUCAUAUAUUUCAUUUGUUCACCAUUUUAGCUGUGUUUCCUUUGCCUACAGUUAUGACCAUAUCUACUGAUUCAUAUGUACUGAAUUAUUUCAGUUCCCUGGUGCCGUGUGGGGCAUGCCAUAUGCUCAUGGACCAUUUUCCACACAUGCACAAGUGUCGCUCCCCAAAAGUUACUUACCAAGACUGAACCAAGCUAUUCUCAGGCUAUGAUGGGAUGUCAAUGCUUCAACUAGAGUAUCUUUUUAACUUGCCUUCAUAUGAUGAAGUUUAGUGGCAGCUCCUGUUAAGUUAAGCAUUUUGUGUACUGUGAAUUGGAUGUGAUCUUGUGCACAUUGAGAUAUAAAUAGAUAUAUUGUGAUCUUGUGAACUAUGACUGGGCUUUGAUGUAUUUGUUUGUGCAUUAAUAUGAAUGGCUGUGGAAAAAUA